GCAAUCCAAAAUUAUUGGAAUUUGUCAAUCCAAUAUUUGACAUGGGAUAGAUGAGAGAAUCAGCAUGGUCUGGUUGAAGAUGAUAAACUUAGCGCUUCCUGAGAGGCAACCCAAUUUUUAAUUUUUAAUUUUAUGCUUUUUGCUAUCUUUUUUAUUUUGCUUAGGUCAAUCAAGUUUUAUUUAGUGUCUUUUGUAGGGAUCUGAAGAUAAUCUUGACUAAGUUGGGGGAA
rnacentral:lncRNA from 1 species